UGGGGAAUAUUGGACAAUGGGCGCAAGCCUGAUGCAGCCAUGCCGCGUGUAUGAAGAAGGCCUUCGGGUUGUAAAGUACUUUCAGCGAGGAGGAAGGCGUUGUGGUUAAUAACCGCAGCGAUUGACGUUACUCGCAGAAGAAGCACCGGCUAACUCCGUGCCAGCAGCCGCGGUAAUACGGAGGGUGCAAGCGUUAAUCGGAAUUACUGGGUGUAAAGCGCACGCAGGCGGUCUGUCAAGUCGGAUGUGAAAUCCCCGGGCUCAACCUGGGAACUGCAUCCGAAACUGGCAGGCUAGAGUCUUGUAGAGGGGGGUAGAAUUCCAGGUGUAGCGGUGAAAUGCGUAGAGAUCUGGAGGAAUACCGGUGGCGAAGGCGGCCCCCUGGACAAAGACUGACGCUCAGGUGCGAAAGCGUGGGGAGCAAACA
rnacentral:rRNA from 1 species